AGGGUUCGAUUAUGGCUCAGGAUGAACGCUAGCGGCAGGCCUAACACAUGCAAGUCGAGGGGUAACAGAGGGUGCUUGCACCUUGCUGACGACCGGCGCACGGGUGCGUAACGCGUAUGCAACCUACCUUCUACAGGGGGAUAGCCCAGAGAAAUUUGGAAUAAUACCCCAUACGAUCUUUACUUGGCAUCGAGUAAAGAAGAAAACUUUUGUGGUAGAAGAUGGGCAUGCGUCCUAUUAGUUAGUUGGUGAGGUAACGGCUCACCAAGACAUCGAUAGGUAGGGGCCCUGAGAGGGGGAUCCCCCACACUGGUACUGAGACGCGGACCAGACUCCUACGGGAGGCAGCAGUGAGGAAUAUUGGACAAUGGGGGCAACCCUGAUCCAGCCAUGCCGCGUGCAGGAAGACUGCCCUAUGGGUUGUAAACUGCUUUUAUACAGGAAGAAACUGCGCUACGUGUAGCGUACUGACGGUACUGUAAGAAUAAGGAUCGGCUAACUCCGUGCCAGCCGCCGCGGUAAUUC
rnacentral:rRNA from 1 species